GGAAUUAUUAAGAAUGCUAGGCCAACAACAAUCACCGUUCACAGUGUCUGCUGACGCUAUGUCAUCCAUGAAGUGAGAACUGCAAUGACAGUGCCGGCUUCGCCACCCGGUGCCGUGAAUCAUUAUUUCAGACGCUCAGAUCUCCUCCCCGUCAAUCAGUAGUUGGGGGCAUCAAUGUUUGGCCCUUAGUCCCAGGGUGCGGGGUGUUCGGCAGUUAUGCACCCCUGCAUUCCCUCAGGCAUUCUCCUAGCUGGUCUAUGGGCACCCAUCCCACUCUUAUGGGAGGCACGGGUCAGGUCACAGUGCACAGCAAAUUGCUAAUUUGUUUAAAAUAUAUUCAAAUAUAUAUUUUCUUUUACCUGGAGUCGUUUGGGGAACACUGCUCGUGGCAGGCUCUCAGUAUCAGUCCUAAUGACCAAUACAUCCAGACUCAAAAGCGGUUAUAGUUUGGGGUUAAUUUGUGGGCACUGCUGGGUGAGAUUUAUGUCUGACCCCCGCCUCUAUCGGCUAGAUGUACUGCAUGUGCAUACCUCAAUGAGGGAUAGAAUGUGGCGAUCUUUUAUUUUUUUUUUUUGAUAUUGUUAUUAUUAUUUCCUGUUGAAAUAAUGAUUAUAGGUUUGUGUCCCGCCGCCAUGUGCCAGCCCGUGUGGCGAGAGACAGAGCCACCCCCCCCCCGGAUUUGUGUAUGGGUGGGGUCCCAGUUAUGUUGGGUGGGCUGUUAGUGCUCUAUCUUUCCCCCCCCCCACCUCCCCUGUGUCAUUUGGUAUGGGCAGAUGUGUGUGUGUGUGUGUGUGUGCGUGUGCGUGUGGGUGCGUGUGUGUGGAGGCACGCUGUACGAUACAAACCUUGAUAUAUGGGACUGCACUCAAGAAAGAGUGUUUAUGGAAUUAGGAACAGAGGGGGCCGGGGGUUACGACGGAGGUAGGCAGGAGGUUCCUGGACACGGUACGACAACUCAGGUGCAAAUACACAGCAAAGUGGACCAGACACAACAGUUCCCUAUAAUUCAUGCAUCAAUUGCUCCUGUGUGGAGUGUGGUCAAGGUUCAGAUUUAUGUUGCUCAGGGGUUGAAAAAUUUGUCGCCCGCCGACCAUGCAUGGGUACUGAGGGAACCAGAAAAUUUAAUUAAAUUUGUGCAGGAAAAUUCAGGGGGAGAGGGCAUUGUAUGGGGUGAGUUGUUUCUCACCUGGUUCCAUUGGAUAAUCCAUCGGCGGGCAUGAGCAGUAGGACAAGAAAGCAGAGAUCUUGAUCAGAUGGUGUCCGUGAUGAGUUGUCCUUCCAGCCUCCCAGUACCUCCUCCAUCGGAACCCCCCGCUCCACAUUGGGCACAUAGUUGUCCAAGGUUUGGGCCUGUUAGUGGUGUCAGCUAGUUUGUUGAUCAGUACAAGAUUUGCUACUUCAGUAGAGUCAUUUUUCCCCAACUUACUCCCUUGGCUAUAGUGUAGGAAAUCGUUGUCUUUUUUCUUGGCAGUUGGUCUUUCUACUGGUCAGUACUGGCGGGUGGUUGUUUUCCCGCUCUUUUGUUUGCACGCAUGCGUGUUGGGUUUACGGUUAGAGUAGUAGUAUUGGUCCUGUGGCUGUGUGCCCUACUAAUCGUCCUGGCAUGGCACAGUUUAAUUUGUGCGCGGUGUGAACGCGCCUCGUCGGUAUCUAGGCUACCUGUACUAGCUGUAGUUUGUGUGUGAGAAACAGUCAGUGCACGUGCCGUGUCACAUGACAGUCAGUGUACGUGCUGUCACCUGACUGCUUCUUAGUAGUUAUUUUUAGGUCGCGUGCUCUAGCGUCUUAUUUAGUACUCAGCUCAGUCGCGUUCGUAGUCAUGGUAGUAGUAGUACUAGUGCUAGUCUGUUUAUUUAUUUUUUUGCCUUGGAUCUAUCAGUGUUCUUUGUUUUAGUGCAGGAUCUAAGUAUUUUCUUGAGUUGUCUUUAGUUGUGCUAGUCCAGUGUAUCAGUCAGUGUGCUAUUGUCUAGUUUAUCUGUGCUGAGGUGUUCCUGCUGCGUAUCAGCGUUCGUGCGAGGGUAGUCGUGGUGUGCACUGGUCGCGUCAGUUUGGCGGUCCGUUCUCUAGUUGUUGUUUGCUCGCGCUGCGGCGCUCAGUUUUAGGAGUCCAGUUGGUGUCGCCGUGUGAGAUUUGAAAUUGAAUCUCGUAGCUGUCGCUUGUCUAUCAACUCGUCUCUACGGUGCUUUCUCCAGUUGGAGCAGUUUCUUCUGCGUGGUUGCGGGCUCUGUGGUUGCCCUUUGGUUCUCGCGCGUCCGUCGUCGUCUUCGUCUGGAGCCGCAUUGUCCAUCUACAAUGGUGGCUGAAGGCCAUUUCUUCAUGAUUCAAGAUUUUAUAUCUGGUACGUUUAGUGCUGUGCGGUAGUUGUUGUUGUUUAGGUUUUCCUUUUUUGUUUGUGUUUGUUGAGUUCAAAUGUGGCAGCGUGCACUGUGGAGUCGUGUUCCUUGUCUCGCUGGGCUCCUUUCUGAGGAGUGUGUUCUGUGUCAUGCACGGUGAACGCUAUUUUCUAUAUCUAUGGGUGUAUUUUUACAGCAGUGAUGCCAGCACGGUGGUAGCAAUUAUAGGCACAUUUGAGUUUUAUUAAGGGGUGGACCUGCACCCCACCCCCGGACAAACAAUGAGCGGCGGGCUGUGUAGUGAUGAGUGUGUGAACGUGAGUGCGCAUGCCGCAUGGGUUUGGCUGUGGCGGUGGAGCGGCGGCGUGCAGCGGUCGUCCGCAUGUGCGCGGGCAGUGGGACUUUUUUAUUUAAUUCUAUUUGUUUAUAAGCAAUGAUAAUAAUAAUGAUAGUACUGCGAACUAAGCGAACUGUAACUACCAUCAUUACCACCACUUGCCCAUUUAUGUAUAGAUGGGGGGCAACUCCCUGUAUUCCCCGGGUGUGUCUCAGGCGAGUAGUGUUGCGGAGGGUUUGUUUGGCUACUGCUUCUAGUGCAUGGUGUGCGUGUGUGUGAGUGUAUCGGUGCUGGGUGUCAGUUGCGAGGGGGGGAGUCCCCUCCGACGGGCAUCCAGGCCGUGUUCCUAGUGAGUGAGGACUAGGCCCCCAGGGCGAGCUAAGAUCAACUCGAGCUUCCCAUGCACCCUCCCCUCCCAAUCUCGGUGGUGGAGUAGGGCACGUAACAGGCAACUCCUAGGGUUAGGAAUUAUUAAGAAUGCUAGGCCAACAACAAUCACCGUUCACAGUGUCUGCUGACGCUAUGUCAUCCAUGAAGUGAGAACUGCAAUGACAGUGCCGGCUUCGCCACCCGGUGCCGUGAAUCAUUAUUUCAGACGCUCAGAUCUCCUCCCCGUCAAUCAGUAGUUGGGGGCAUCAAUGUUUGGCCCUUAGUCCCAGGGUGCGGGGUGUUCGGCAGUUAUGCACCCCUGCAUUCCCUCAGGCAUUCUCCUAGCUGGUCUAUGGGCACCCAUCCCACUCUUAUGGGAGGCACGGGUCAGGUCACAGUGCACAGCAAAUUGCUAAUUUGUUUAAAAUAUAUUCAAAUAUAUAUUUUCUUUUACCUGGAGUCGUUUGGGGAACACUGCUCGUGGCAGGCUCUCAGUAUCAGUCCUAAUGACCAAUACAUCCAGACUCAAAAGCGGUUAUAGUUUGGGGUUAAUUUGUGGGCACUGCUGGGUGAGAUUUAUGUCUGACCCCCGCCUCUAUCGGCUAGAUGUACUGCAUGUGCAUACCUCAAUGAGGGAUAGAAUGUGGCGAUCUUUUAUUUUUUUUUUUUGAUAUUGUUAUUAUUAUUUCCUGUUGAAAUAAUGAUUAUAGGUUUGUGUCCCGCCGCCAUGUGCCAGCCCGUGUGGCGAGAGACAGAGCCACCCCCCCCCCGGAUUUGUGUAUGGGUGGGGUCCCAGUUAUGUUGGGUGGGCUGUUAGUGCUCUAUCUUUCCCCCCCCCCACCUCCCCUGUGUCAUUUGGUAUGGGCAGAUGUGUGUGUGUGUGUGUGUGUGCGUGUGCGUGUGGGUGCGUGUGUGUGGAGGCACGCUGUACGAUACAAACCUUGAUAUAUGGGACUGCACUCAAGAAAGAGUGUUUAUGGAAUUAGGAACAGAGGGGGCCGGGGGUUACGACGGAGGUAGGCAGGAGGUUCCUGGACACGGUACGACAACUCAGGUGCAAAUACACAGCAAAGUGGACCAGACACAACAGUUCCCUAUAAUUCAUGCAUCAAUUGCUCCUGUGUGGAGUGUGGUCAAGGUUCAGAUUUAUGUUGCUCAGGGGUUGAAAAAUUUGUCGCCCGCCGACCAUGCAUGGGUACUGAGGGAACCAGAAAAUUUAAUUAAAUUUGUGCAGGAAAAUUCAGGGGGAGAGGGCAUUGUAUGGGGUGAGUUGUUUCUCACCUGGUUCCAUUGGAUAAUCCAUCGGCGGGCAUGAGCAGUAGGACAAGAAAGCAGAGAUCUUGAUCAGAUGGUGUCCGUGAUGAGUUGUCCUUCCAGCCUCCCAGUACCUCCUCCAUCGGAACCCCCCGCUCCACAUUGGGCACAUAGUUGUCCAAGGUUUGGGCCUGUUAGUGGUGUCAGCUAGUUUGUUGAUCAGUACAAGAUUUGCUACUUCAGUAGAGUCAUUUUUCCCCAACUUACUCCCUUGGCUAUAGUGUAGGAAAUCGUUGUCUUUUUUCUUGGCAGUUGGUCUUUCUACUGGUCAGUACUGGCGGGUGGUUGUUUUCCCGCUCUUUUGUUUGCACGCAUGCGUGUUGGGUUUACGGUUAGAGUAGUAGUAUUGGUCCUGUGGCUGUGUGCCCUACUAAUCGUCCUGGCAUGGCACAGUUUAAUUUGUGCGCGGUGUGAACGCGCCUCGUCGGUAUCUAGGCUACCUGUACUAGCUGUAGUUUGUGUGUGAGAAACAGUCAGUGCACGUGCCGUGUCACAUGACAGUCAGUGUACGUGCUGUCACCUGACUGCUUCUUAGUAGUUAUUUUUAGGUCGCGUGCUCUAGCGUCUUAUUUAGUACUCAGCUCAGUCGCGUUCGUAGUCAUGGUAGUAGUAGUACUAGUGCUAGUCUGUUUAUUUAUUUUUUUGCCUUGGAUCUAUCAGUGUUCUUUGUUUUAGUGCAGGAUCUAAGUAUUUUCUUGAGUUGUCUUUAGUUGUGCUAGUCCAGUGUAUCAGUCAGUGUGCUAUUGUCUAGUUUAUCUGUGCUGAGGUGUUCCUGCUGCGUAUCAGCGUUCGUGCGAGGGUAGUCGUGGUGUGCACUGGUCGCGUCAGUUUGGCGGUCCGUUCUCUAGUUGUUGUUUGCUCGCGCUGCGGCGCUCAGUUUUAGGAGUCCAGUUGGUGUCGCCGUGUGAGAUUUGAAAUUGAAUCUCGUAGCUGUCGCUUGUCUAUCAACUCGUCUCUACGGUGCUUUCUCCAGUUGGAGCAGUUUCUUCUGCGUGGUUGCGGGCUCUGUGGUUGCCCUUUGGUUCUCGCGCGUCCGUCGUCGUCUUCGUCUGGAGCCGCAUUGUCCAUCUACAAUGGUGGCUGAAGGCCAUUUCUUCAUGAUUCAAGAUUUUAUAUCUGGUACGUUUAGUGCUGUGCGGUAGUUGUUGUUGUUUAGGUUUUCCUUUUUUGUUUGUGUUUGUUGAGUUCAAAUGUGGCAGCGUGCACUGUGGAGUCGUGUUCCUUGUCUCGCUGGGCUCCUUUCUGAGGAGUGUGUUCUGUGUCAUGCACGGUGAACGCUAUUUUCUAUAUCUAUGGGUGUAUUUUUACAGCAGUGAUGCCAGCACGGUGGUAGCAAUUAUAGGCACAUUUGAGUUUUAUUAAGGGGUGGACCUGCACCCCACCCCCGGACAAACAAUGAGCGGCGGGCUGUGUAGUGAUGAGUGUGUGAACGUGAGUGCGCAUGCCGCAUGGGUUUGGCUGUGGCGGUGGAGCGGCGGCGUGCAGCGGUCGUCCGCAUGUGCGCGGGCAGUGGGACUUUUUUAUUUAAUUCUAUUUGUUUAUAAGCAAUGAUAAUAAUAAUGAUAGUACUGCGAACUAAGCGAACUGUAACUACCAUCAUUACCACCACUUGCCCAUUUAUGUAUAGAUGGGGGGCAACUCCCUGUAUUCCCCGGGUGUGUCUCAGGCGAGUAGUGUUGCGGAGGGUUUGUUUGGCUACUGCUUCUAGUGCAUGGUGUGCGUGUGUGUGAGUGUAUCGGUGCUGGGUGUCAGUUGCGAGGGGGGGAGUCCCCUCCGACGGGCAUCCAGGCCGUGUUCCUAGUGAGUGAGGACUAGGCCCCCAGGGCGAGCUAAGAUCAACUCGAGCUUCCCAUGCACCCUCCCCUCCCAAUCUCGGUGGUGGAGUAGGGCACGUAACAGGCAACUCCUAGGGUUAGGAAUUAUUAAGAAUGCUAGGCCAACAACAAUCACCGUUCACAGUGUCUGCUGACGCUAUGUCAUCCAUGAAGUGAGAACUGCAAUGACAGUGCCGGCUUCGCCACCCGGUGCCGUGAAUCAUUAUUUCAGACGCUCAGAUCUCCUCCCCGUCAAUCAGUAGUUGGGGGCAUCAAUGUUUGGCCCUUAGUCCCAGGGUGCGGGGUGUUCGGCAGUUAUGCACCCCUGCAUUCCCUCAGGCAUUCUCCUAGCUGGUCUAUGGGCACCCAUCCCACUCUUAUGGGAGGCACGGGUCAGGUCACAGUGCACAGCAAAUUGCUAAUUUGUUUAAAAUAUAUUCAAAUAUAUAUUUUCUUUUACCUGGAGUCGUUUGGGGAACACUGCUCGUGGCAGGCUCUCAGUAUCAGUCCUAAUGACCAAUACAUCCAGACUCAAAAGCGGUUAUAGUUUGGGGUUAAUUUGUGGGCACUGCUGGGUGAGAUUUAUGUCUGACCCCCGCCUCUAUCGGCUAGAUGUACUGCAUGUGCAUACCUCAAUGAGGGAUAGAAUGUGGCGAUCUUUUAUUUUUUUUUUUUGAUAUUGUUAUUAUUAUUUCCUGUUGAAAUAAUGAUUAUAGGUUUGUGUCCCGCCGCCAUGUGCCAGCCCGUGUGGCGAGAGACAGAGCCACCCCCCCCCCGGAUUUGUGUAUGGGUGGGGUCCCAGUUAUGUUGGGUGGGCUGUUAGUGCUCUAUCUUUCCCCCCCCCCACCUCCCCUGUGUCAUUUGGUAUGGGCAGAUGUGUGUGUGUGUGUGUGUGUGCGUGUGCGUGUGGGUGCGUGUGUGUGGAGGCACGCUGUACGAUACAAACCUUGAUAUAUGGGACUGCACUCAAGAAAGAGUGUUUAUGGAAUUAGGAACAGAGGGGGCCGGGGGUUACGACGGAGGUAGGCAGGAGGUUCCUGGACACGGUACGACAACUCAGGUGCAAAUACACAGCAAAGUGGACCAGACACAACAGUUCCCUAUAAUUCAUGCAUCAAUUGCUCCUGUGUGGAGUGUGGUCAAGGUUCAGAUUUAUGUUGCUCAGGGGUUGAAAAAUUUGUCGCCCGCCGACCAUGCAUGGGUACUGAGGGAACCAGAAAAUUUAAUUAAAUUUGUGCAGGAAAAUUCAGGGGGAGAGGGCAUUGUAUGGGGUGAGUUGUUUCUCACCUGGUUCCAUUGGAUAAUCCAUCGGCGGGCAUGAGCAGUAGGACAAGAAAGCAGAGAUCUUGAUCAGAUGGUGUCCGUGAUGAGUUGUCCUUCCAGCCUCCCAGUACCUCCUCCAUCGGAACCCCCCGCUCCACAUUGGGCACAUAGUUGUCCAAGGUUUGGGCCUGUUAGUGGUGUCAGCUAGUUUGUUGAUCAGUACAAGAUUUGCUACUUCAGUAGAGUCAUUUUUCCCCAACUUACUCCCUUGGCUAUAGUGUAGGAAAUCGUUGUCUUUUUUCUUGGCAGUUGGUCUUUCUACUGGUCAGUACUGGCGGGUGGUUGUUUUCCCGCUCUUUUGUUUGCACGCAUGCGUGUUGGGUUUACGGUUAGAGUAGUAGUAUUGGUCCUGUGGCUGUGUGCCCUACUAAUCGUCCUGGCAUGGCACAGUUUAAUUUGUGCGCGGUGUGAACGCGCCUCGUCGGUAUCUAGGCUACCUGUACUAGCUGUAGUUUGUGUGUGAGAAACAGUCAGUGCACGUGCCGUGUCACAUGACAGUCAGUGUACGUGCUGUCACCUGACUGCUUCUUAGUAGUUAUUUUUAGGUCGCGUGCUCUAGCGUCUUAUUUAGUACUCAGCUCAGUCGCGUUCGUAGUCAUGGUAGUAGUAGUACUAGUGCUAGUCUGUUUAUUUAUUUUUUUGCCUUGGAUCUAUCAGUGUUCUUUGUUUUAGUGCAGGAUCUAAGUAUUUUCUUGAGUUGUCUUUAGUUGUGCUAGUCCAGUGUAUCAGUCAGUGUGCUAUUGUCUAGUUUAUCUGUGCUGAGGUGUUCCUGCUGCGUAUCAGCGUUCGUGCGAGGGUAGUCGUGGUGUGCACUGGUCGCGUCAGUUUGGCGGUCCGUUCUCUAGUUGUUGUUUGCUCGCGCUGCGGCGCUCAGUUUUAGGAGUCCAGUUGGUGUCGCCGUGUGAGAUUUGAAAUUGAAUCUCGUAGCUGUCGCUUGUCUAUCAACUCGUCUCUACGGUGCUUUCUCCAGUUGGAGCAGUUUCUUCUGCGUGGUUGCGGGCUCUGUGGUUGCCCUUUGGUUCUCGCGCGUCCGUCGUCGUCUUCGUCUGGAGCCGCAUUGUCCAUCUACAAUGGUGGCUGAAGGCCAUUUCUUCAUGAUUCAAGAUUUUAUAUCUGGUACGUUUAGUGCUGUGCGGUAGUUGUUGUUGUUUAGGUUUUCCUUUUUUGUUUGUGUUUGUUGAGUUCAAAUGUGGCAGCGUGCACUGUGGAGUCGUGUUCCUUGUCUCGCUGGGCUCCUUUCUGAGGAGUGUGUUCUGUGUCAUGCACGGUGAACGCUAUUUUCUAUAUCUAUGGGUGUAUUUUUACAGCAGUGAUGCCAGCACGGUGGUAGCAAUUAUAGGCACAUUUGAGUUUUAUUAAGGGGUGGACCUGCACCCCACCCCCGGACAAACAAUGAGCGGCGGGCUGUGUAGUGAUGAGUGUGUGAACGUGAGUGCGCAUGCCGCAUGGGUUUGGCUGUGGCGGUGGAGCGGCGGCGUGCAGCGGUCGUCCGCAUGUGCGCGGGCAGUGGGACUUUUUUAUUUAAUUCUAUUUGUUUAUAAGCAAUGAUAAUAAUAAUGAUAGUACUGCGAACUAAGCGAACUGUAACUACCAUCAUUACCACCACUUGCCCAUUUAUGUAUAGAUGGGGGGCAACUCCCUGUAUUCCCCGGGUGUGUCUCAGGCGAGUAGUGUUGCGGAGGGUUUGUUUGGCUACUGCUUCUAGUGCAUGGUGUGCGUGUGUGUGAGUGUAUCGGUGCUGGGUGUCAGUUGCGAGGGGGGGAGUCCCCUCCGACGGGCAUCCAGGCCGUGUUCCUAGUGAGUGAGGACUAGGCCCCCAGGGCGAGCUAAGAUCAACUCGAGCUUCCCAUGCACCCUCCCCUCCCAAUCUCGGUGGUGGAGUAGGGCACGUAACAGGCAACUCCUAGGGUUAGGAAUUAUUAAGAAUGCUAGGCCAACAACAAUCACCGUUCACAGUGUCUGCUGACGCUAUGUCAUCCAUGAAGUGAGAACUGCAAUGACAGUGCCGGCUUCGCCACCCGGUGCCGUGAAUCAUUAUUUCAGACGCUCAGAUCUCCUCCCCGUCAAUCAGUAGUUGGGGGCAUCAAUGUUUGGCCCUUAGUCCCAGGGUGCGGGGUGUUCGGCAGUUAUGCACCCCUGCAUUCCCUCAGGCAUUCUCCUAGCUGGUCUAUGGGCACCCAUCCCACUCUUAUGGGAGGCACGGGUCAGGUCACAGUGCACAGCAAAUUGCUAAUUUGUUUAAAAUAUAUUCAAAUAUAUAUUUUCUUUUACCUGGAGUCGUUUGGGGAACACUGCUCGUGGCAGGCUCUCAGUAUCAGUCCUAAUGACCAAUACAUCCAGACUCAAAAGCGGUUAUAGUUUGGGGUUAAUUUGUGGGCACUGCUGGGUGAGAUUUAUGUCUGACCCCCGCCUCUAUCGGCUAGAUGUACUGCAUGUGCAUACCUCAAUGAGGGAUAGAAUGUGGCGAUCUUUUAUUUUUUUUUUUUGAUAUUGUUAUUAUUAUUUCCUGUUGAAAUAAUGAUUAUAGGUUUGUGUCCCGCCGCCAUGUGCCAGCCCGUGUGGCGAGAGACAGAGCCACCCCCCCCCCGGAUUUGUGUAUGGGUGGGGUCCCAGUUAUGUUGGGUGGGCUGUUAGUGCUCUAUCUUUCCCCCCCCCCACCUCCCCUGUGUCAUUUGGUAUGGGCAGAUGUGUGUGUGUGUGUGUGUGUGCGUGUGCGUGUGGGUGCGUGUGUGUGGAGGCACGCUGUACGAUACAAACCUUGAUAUAUGGGACUGCACUCAAGAAAGAGUGUUUAUGGAAUUAGGAACAGAGGGGGCCGGGGGUUACGACGGAGGUAGGCAGGAGGUUCCUGGACACGGUACGACAACUCAGGUGCAAAUACACAGCAAAGUGGACCAGACACAACAGUUCCCUAUAAUUCAUGCAUCAAUUGCUCCUGUGUGGAGUGUGGUCAAGGUUCAGAUUUAUGUUGCUCAGGGGUUGAAAAAUUUGUCGCCCGCCGACCAUGCAUGGGUACUGAGGGAACCAGAAAAUUUAAUUAAAUUUGUGCAGGAAAAUUCAGGGGGAGAGGGCAUUGUAUGGGGUGAGUUGUUUCUCACCUGGUUCCAUUGGAUAAUCCAUCGGCGGGCAUGAGCAGUAGGACAAGAAAGCAGAGAUCUUGAUCAGAUGGUGUCCGUGAUGAGUUGUCCUUCCAGCCUCCCAGUACCUCCUCCAUCGGAACCCCCCGCUCCACAUUGGGCACAUAGUUGUCCAAGGUUUGGGCCUGUUAGUGGUGUCAGCUAGUUUGUUGAUCAGUACAAGAUUUGCUACUUCAGUAGAGUCAUUUUUCCCCAACUUACUCCCUUGGCUAUAGUGUAGGAAAUCGUUGUCUUUUUUCUUGGCAGUUGGUCUUUCUACUGGUCAGUACUGGCGGGUGGUUGUUUUCCCGCUCUUUUGUUUGCACGCAUGCGUGUUGGGUUUACGGUUAGAGUAGUAGUAUUGGUCCUGUGGCUGUGUGCCCUACUAAUCGUCCUGGCAUGGCACAGUUUAAUUUGUGCGCGGUGUGAACGCGCCUCGUCGGUAUCUAGGCUACCUGUACUAGCUGUAGUUUGUGUGUGAGAAACAGUCAGUGCACGUGCCGUGUCACAUGACAGUCAGUGUACGUGCUGUCACCUGACUGCUUCUUAGUAGUUAUUUUUAGGUCGCGUGCUCUAGCGUCUUAUUUAGUACUCAGCUCAGUCGCGUUCGUAGUCAUGGUAGUAGUAGUACUAGUGCUAGUCUGUUUAUUUAUUUUUUUGCCUUGGAUCUAUCAGUGUUCUUUGUUUUAGUGCAGGAUCUAAGUAUUUUCUUGAGUUGUCUUUAGUUGUGCUAGUCCAGUGUAUCAGUCAGUGUGCUAUUGUCUAGUUUAUCUGUGCUGAGGUGUUCCUGCUGCGUAUCAGCGUUCGUGCGAGGGUAGUCGUGGUGUGCACUGGUCGCGUCAGUUUGGCGGUCCGUUCUCUAGUUGUUGUUUGCUCGCGCUGCGGCGCUCAGUUUUAGGAGUCCAGUUGGUGUCGCCGUGUGAGAUUUGAAAUUGAAUCUCGUAGCUGUCGCUUGUCUAUCAACUCGUCUCUACGGUGCUUUCUCCAGUUGGAGCAGUUUCUUCUGCGUGGUUGCGGGCUCUGUGGUUGCCCUUUGGUUCUCGCGCGUCCGUCGUCGUCUUCGUCUGGAGCCGCAUUGUCCAUCUACAAUGGUGGCUGAAGGCCAUUUCUUCAUGAUUCAAGAUUUUAUAUCUGGUACGUUUAGUGCUGUGCGGUAGUUGUUGUUGUUUAGGUUUUCCUUUUUUGUUUGUGUUUGUUGAGUUCAAAUGUGGCAGCGUGCACUGUGGAGUCGUGUUCCUUGUCUCGCUGGGCUCCUUUCUGAGGAGUGUGUUCUGUGUCAUGCACGGUGAACGCUAUUUUCUAUAUCUAUGGGUGUAUUUUUACAGCAGUGAUGCCAGCACGGUGGUAGCAAUUAUAGGCACAUUUGAGUUUUAUUAAGGGGUGGACCUGCACCCCACCCCCGGACAAACAAUGAGCGGCGGGCUGUGUAGUGAUGAGUGUGUGAACGUGAGUGCGCAUGCCGCAUGGGUUUGGCUGUGGCGGUGGAGCGGCGGCGUGCAGCGGUCGUCCGCAUGUGCGCGGGCAGUGGGACUUUUUUAUUUAAUUCUAUUUGUUUAUAAGCAAUGAUAAUAAUAAUGAUAGUACUGCGAACUAAGCGAACUGUAACUACCAUCAUUACCACCACUUGCCCAUUUAUGUAUAGAUGGGGGGCAACUCCCUGUAUUCCCCGGGUGUGUCUCAGGCGAGUAGUGUUGCGGAGGGUUUGUUUGGCUACUGCUUCUAGUGCAUGGUGUGCGUGUGUGUGAGUGUAUCGGUGCUGGGUGUCAGUUGCGAGGGGGGGAGUCCCCUCCGACGGGCAUCCAGGCCGUGUUCCUAGUGAGUGAGGACUAGGCCCCCAGGGCGAGCUAAGAUCAACUCGAGCUUCCCAUGCACCCUCCCCUCCCAAUCUCGGUGGUGGAGUAGGGCACGUAACAGGCAACUCCUAGGGUUAGGAAUUAUUAAGAAUGCUAGGCCAACAACAAUCACCGUUCACAGUGUCUGCUGACGCUAUGUCAUCCAUGAAGUGAGAACUGCAAUGACAGUGCCGGCUUCGCCACCCGGUGCCGUGAAUCAUUAUUUCAGACGCUCAGAUCUCCUCCCCGUCAAUCAGUAGUUGGGGGCAUCAAUGUUUGGCCCUUAGUCCCAGGGUGCGGGGUGUUCGGCAGUUAUGCACCCCUGCAUUCCCUCAGGCAUUCUCCUAGCUGGUCUAUGGGCACCCAUCCCACUCUUAUGGGAGGCACGGGUCAGGUCACAGUGCACAGCAAAUUGCUAAUUUGUUUAAAAUAUAUUCAAAUAUAUAUUUUCUUUUACCUGGAGUCGUUUGGGGAACACUGCUCGUGGCAGGCUCUCAGUAUCAGUCCUAAUGACCAAUACAUCCAGACUCAAAAGCGGUUAUAGUUUGGGGUUAAUUUGUGGGCACUGCUGGGUGAGAUUUAUGUCUGACCCCCGCCUCUAUCGGCUAGAUGUACUGCAUGUGCAUACCUCAAUGAGGGAUAGAAUGUGGCGAUCUUUUAUUUUUUUUUUUUGAUAUUGUUAUUAUUAUUUCCUGUUGAAAUAAUGAUUAUAGGUUUGUGUCCCGCCGCCAUGUGCCAGCCCGUGUGGCGAGAGACAGAGCCACCCCCCCCCCGGAUUUGUGUAUGGGUGGGGUCCCAGUUAUGUUGGGUGGGCUGUUAGUGCUCUAUCUUUCCCCCCCCCCACCUCCCCUGUGUCAUUUGGUAUGGGCAGAUGUGUGUGUGUGUGUGUGUGUGCGUGUGCGUGUGGGUGCGUGUGUGUGGAGGCACGCUGUACGAUACAAACCUUGAUAUAUGGGACUGCACUCAAGAAAGAGUGUUUAUGGAAUUAGGAACAGAGGGGGCCGGGGGUUACGACGGAGGUAGGCAGGAGGUUCCUGGACACGGUACGACAACUCAGGUGCAAAUACACAGCAAAGUGGACCAGACACAACAGUUCCCUAUAAUUCAUGCAUCAAUUGCUCCUGUGUGGAGUGUGGUCAAGGUUCAGAUUUAUGUUGCUCAGGGGUUGAAAAAUUUGUCGCCCGCCGACCAUGCAUGGGUACUGAGGGAACCAGAAAAUUUAAUUAAAUUUGUGCAGGAAAAUUCAGGGGGAGAGGGCAUUGUAUGGGGUGAGUUGUUUCUCACCUGGUUCCAUUGGAUAAUCCAUCGGCGGGCAUGAGCAGUAGGACAAGAAAGCAGAGAUCUUGAUCAGAUGGUGUCCGUGAUGAGUUGUCCUUCCAGCCUCCCAGUACCUCCUCCAUCGGAACCCCCCGCUCCACAUUGGGCACAUAGUUGUCCAAGGUUUGGGCCUGUUAGUGGUGUCAGCUAGUUUGUUGAUCAGUACAAGAUUUGCUACUUCAGUAGAGUCAUUUUUCCCCAACUUACUCCCUUGGCUAUAGUGUAGGAAAUCGUUGUCUUUUUUCUUGGCAGUUGGUCUUUCUACUGGUCAGUACUGGCGGGUGGUUGUUUUCCCGCUCUUUUGUUUGCACGCAUGCGUGUUGGGUUUACGGUUAGAGUAGUAGUAUUGGUCCUGUGGCUGUGUGCCCUACUAAUCGUCCUGGCAUGGCACAGUUUAAUUUGUGCGCGGUGUGAACGCGCCUCGUCGGUAUCUAGGCUACCUGUACUAGCUGUAGUUUGUGUGUGAGAAACAGUCAGUGCACGUGCCGUGUCACAUGACAGUCAGUGUACGUGCUGUCACCUGACUGCUUCUUAGUAGUUAUUUUUAGGUCGCGUGCUCUAGCGUCUUAUUUAGUACUCAGCUCAGUCGCGUUCGUAGUCAUGGUAGUAGUAGUACUAGUGCUAGUCUGUUUAUUUAUUUUUUUGCCUUGGAUCUAUCAGUGUUCUUUGUUUUAGUGCAGGAUCUAAGUAUUUUCUUGAGUUGUCUUUAGUUGUGCUAGUCCAGUGUAUCAGUCAGUGUGCUAUUGUCUAGUUUAUCUGUGCUGAGGUGUUCCUGCUGCGUAUCAGCGUUCGUGCGAGGGUAGUCGUGGUGUGCACUGGUCGCGUCAGUUUGGCGGUCCGUUCUCUAGUUGUUGUUUGCUCGCGCUGCGGCGCUCAGUUUUAGGAGUCCAGUUGGUGUCGCCGUGUGAGAUUUGAAAUUGAAUCUCGUAGCUGUCGCUUGUCUAUCAACUCGUCUCUACGGUGCUUUCUCCAGUUGGAGCAGUUUCUUCUGCGUGGUUGCGGGCUCUGUGGUUGCCCUUUGGUUCUCGCGCGUCCGUCGUCGUCUUCGUCUGGAGCCGCAUUGUCCAUCUACAAUGGUGGCUGAAGGCCAUUUCUUCAUGAUUCAAGAUUUUAUAUCUGGUACGUUUAGUGCUGUGCGGUAGUUGUUGUUGUUUAGGUUUUCCUUUUUUGUUUGUGUUUGUUGAGUUCAAAUGUGGCAGCGUGCACUGUGGAGUCGUGUUCCUUGUCUCGCUGGGCUCCUUUCUGAGGAGUGUGUUCUGUGUCAUGCACGGUGAACGCUAUUUUCUAUAUCUAUGGGUGUAUUUUUACAGCAGUGAUGCCAGCACGGUGGUAGCAAUUAUAGGCACAUUUGAGUUUUAUUAAGGGGUGGACCUGCACCCCACCCCCGGACAAACAAUGAGCGGCGGGCUGUGUAGUGAUGAGUGUGUGAACGUGAGUGCGCAUGCCGCAUGGGUUUGGCUGUGGCGGUGGAGCGGCGGCGUGCAGCGGUCGUCCGCAUGUGCGCGGGCAGUGGGACUUUUUUAUUUAAUUCUAUUUGUUUAUAAGCAAUGAUAAUAAUAAUGAUAGUACUGCGAACUAAGCGAACUGUAACUACCAUCAUUACCA